CACAAAACGCGGCCCGGCGGCUUCCACCCGAUAGGUGGGAGCACUUCCUGCGUCACCGCCGCGCCCCACGCAGCAUGCGCAUCCCCUGCCUCGCCUUAGCUGCUGGGGUUGGUGCGAAGGCCGGCGCGGAGCCCCGGUGAUGCUGAACGGAGUGAGAGGACAGCAGCGGAGGACUGCAUGCAAAGAAAAGAUCAUGAGCAGCAUCCUGUGACCCUGGAAAGAGAUCGAGCUUGUUAUCACAUGAAUUAUCGCUUCGCAUCAUGUACUAUCACGCUGUCAGGAAGUCCACAACAGCCAGUAAUAGUUCUGAAAGUUUCGAGACCCUUUUCCCUGGAGCCCAUUGAUUAUAACGAGUGAAUAUUUACUGUCGACGAUUAACGGUAACUGCACAGCCAGAGGCGAGGCACAGAUCUUGCUGCGGGCCUCGCCAGCGGCCCCGCGCCCCACUCACCCAGCAGCAGCCAGGGCCGGACGACGCCGACCUGCAGGUCGGAGCUGAGGUCCGGCACGUAGCCGCAGCCGCCGCCAUCGCCGGGCCCCGUCUCCUCCACCACCUGCACGCAGGCACCGCGCCACGUCUCGAUGAUCCUCUUCCCUGUCAGCGUCGUCACCCUGGUGCACUGCUUCCGCAGGUUCGCCCUGGAGAAGCUUCGGAUCUCCUCCCCGAGCGAGUGCAUGGCACCGGCAGCAGCCGCACCGCCCCGGCCCCGGCCCCGGCCCCGACCCCAACGGCAGCGGCGGCGGCGGCGCGCGCCGCCCCUCGCUUUCCUCAGCCCGCUGCGCCCGGCGAUUGGCCGAGCGCGCGCCGCCUCCCAUUGGCUGCGGGACCCUCGGGGGCGCGCGGCCCUGACACCUCCCCGCGGCGUCGCUGAGGGGGCGGUAACGGCCUCCUGGCUGGACCGGGCGGGGCGGGGAGGGACGGGGCUGCCCGCGCCGCGGCCGUCGUCGUCGUGAGCCGCGGGACGGCGGGAGCGGGCCAGCCGCUCGGACGUGCCUGUGGGAUUGUCAUUGCUGCUGUCAAGUUGUUCAUACUUUCCUUUACAAGAUAGAAGUGAAGAUGAUUGGCCCAGGUUAUAUUGCCCUUACUCAUCGAUGUGAAAGAGCCAGUUUCUGUCAAAGAAAUGAUAAUCACACAUUCCACAUAGCUGACUUUGAGAAGCCAGCCUCACAUUCUGAAGAAUGAGGAUGACUAGUCGCCAUGGAAAGAAUAUUCUGGAAGAAAACCGGAAUCCCAGCAAAGUGUGAGGUCUGCAGAGGAAGACCUAGCCUCUUCUCCAGCCCACCUGUGUCCCAUAUCCUGAAUGAAGGUGUGGAUGUGCACCCUCUUGUAUCCUGGUAUCCAGUAACAUAUCUGGAAAAUCUGAAUUAAGUGGAUUGAUGACUAGGAAGUGAACAGUAUGUGAACUUAAAAAGCUACCAAAGUGUAGACAAAAGACUGAAAGGACAUUGCGUGGGGAAGAAUGAAUUUGUAGCAAAGCCUCUUCUCUAGCAGGAUAUAGUGAGGAAUGAAAAGCAUGCAAGGAUUGUCAGUUUUGUGUGCUGAGAUCACUGCGUCACCGAGGUAAGCCAUAUGGGCAUAAGAAACUGUAAUUUUGCCAGUUAUUGUGGUUGUUUCUAGGAUCACAGGGAGAAAAGACAAAGGCAGAGGCAGAUUAGUAAGUACGCAUCACUUUAAAAGUUUGCCAUAGUAGUCUGUCCAAAUAGGGAAAGUGGGGGGAAGCAGGACCAUGUCAAAGGCUAUGUACAGGCAGCCCUGAAAACUGUGAGUUACCAGGGCAUUUCCUUCACGCACCUGUUGCUGCAGUUACGCAUACUGUAAUCUGGUUGUCAGUGAGCCCAGCUUCAAUGUAAGCUGUUACUUUGUUUCUGUGGUUUUGGUCUGUACCAGUUUGUAACACCUUAGAAGCACUAAACCCCA